rnacentral:rRNA from 1 species
AUGCCUGUUCGAGCGUCAUUUCAACCCUCAAGCCCCCGGGUUUGGUGUUGGGGAUCGGCUCUGCCCUUCUGGGCGGUGCCGCCCCCGAAAUACAUUGGCGGUCUCGCUGCAGCCUCCAUUGCGUAG